UCAUUACCGAGUUCAUGCCCUCACGGGUAGAUCUCCCACCCUAUGUUAUCAUUACCUUCGUUGCUUUGGCGGGCCGUCAGGCUUCGGCUAGGCUAUCGGCUCCGGCUGGUAAGCGCCCGCCAGAGGACCCUAAACUCUGAAUGUUAGUGUCGUCUGAGUACUAUCUAAUAGUUAAAACUUUCAACAACGGAUCUCUUGGUUCUGGCAUCGAUGAAGAACGCAGCGAAAUGCGAUAAGUAAUGUGAAUUGCAGAAUUCAGUGAAUCAUCGAAUCUUUGAACGCACAUUGCGCCCCUUGGUAUUCCGAGGGGCAUGCCUGUUCGAGCGUCAUUACAACCCUCAAGCACUGCUUGGUAUUGGGCCCCGCUGCUUAACGCCGCGGGCCUUAAAAUCAGUGGCGGCGCCGCUGGGCUCUGAGCGUAGUAAAUUUCCUCGCUACGGAGACCUGGCGGUGGUAGCCAUCAACCCCCA
rnacentral:rRNA from 1 species